rnacentral:rRNA from 1 species
GUCUACAGCUAUACCACCCUGAAAGCGCCCAAUCUCAUCUGAUCUCAGAAGCUAAACAUGGUUGGGCCUGGUUAAUGCUUGGAUGAGAGACCAGCCCUAAAAUGGCAUUGAAACA